AAUGAACGCUGGCGGCAGGCCUAACACAUGCAAGUCGAGCGGAGCGGCGGACGGGUGAGUAAUGCCUAGGAAUCUGCCUGGUAGUGGGGGAUAACGUCCGGAAACGGGUGUUAAUACCGCCUAAUAUCAGCUGAGCCCAGGUCUGAUUAGCUAGUUGGUGGGGUAAAGGCCUACCAAGGCGGCGAGCCGUAAUUGGUCUGAGGGGAUGAUCAGUCACACGAGAGCUGAGACACGGUCGCGGCUCCCACGAGAGGAGGCAGUGGGGAAUAUUGGACAAUUGGCGAAAGCCUGGUCCAGCCAUGCCACGUGUGUGAAGGAGGUCUUCGGAUUGUGAGGCCCUUUAAGGUGGUGGGCGUUACCAACAGAAUAAGCACCGGCUAACUACGUGCCAGCAGCCGCGGUAAUUC
rnacentral:rRNA from 1 species